GGUGAGGGACGGAUAGGGGGAUGAGAGAGAAACAGGACCAAGCUCUAGUUUCAAGGUAUGGAGGUAGAGAUUCUCUCCAUGGACUCCAAGUGCCCCAUUCUUACCCCUUCCUGGAGCCAAAUCAUCAGUACAAUAGGUCUCGUGGUUAAUUAGUACUUGUACUCUGACCCUAAGAUAUAACCUUUUCUGAUAAAACCUAUCAAUAAGGGCAGCUCACAGACAGGUGGCCCUCAGUCCUCGUAGCAGGCACCUCAACUUCUCAACACAAAGGUCAGAGGAAGAAGAGAACAGAACAUAGAAAUGAAAAGGUUGAUCCUACUAGCCAGUUUAGCUAUUCUACUGUUCCAAGAGGUCCAUGGGGCCUCCAAAUACAAGGUCUUAAUGAAUGCCAAAAGAAGGGGCGGCUUCUCUGAAGAGAACACUAAUGAACAAUUGAAUUUGGGCCAAAAGGCUAUUGGACAACCAGAAAAAGACAACAUUCUCUUUGAACCCAUGCCCAAACUGGAGCUUUUCACAGAUCGGGAGAAAAAGCAAGAUCCCUUGAGACAUCUCCGAAAUCCAGUGCAAUUACCUGAGGAAGACAGAGAUUCCUUCUACCACCCAAGUUCCAUAGAGGAUGUCAUUGAAGAACCCAAAAUGCUGAAGACAUUUCAUUAUAAAGUGCUACAGGGGCCAGAAGAGGACAGAGACCAUAUCUACCAUGGUGUAGAUUAA
rnacentral:lncRNA from 1 species